UAAGAAUAGAAUAAAGCUAUACAGCUUUUAGAAGAAAACCUUCUUCUUUUAGGGGAAACCUUCAUGACAUUAGAUUUGGCAAUGAUGUCUUGAAUAUGACACCAAAAGCACAGGCAACAAAAGAAAAACUAAAUAAAUUGAGCUCAAUUAAAAUUAAAAACUUUUGCGCAUCAAAUGAUACUAGGAGACUGAAGUGACAACCCACAGAAUGGGAGGAAAAAAAUGCCAAUCACAUAACUGAUAAGGGAUUGAUAUCCAGAAUAUAUAAAGAACUCCUAAAACUCAACAACAAAAACCAAAUAACCCAAUUGAAAAAUGGUCAAAGAACUUGACUAGACAUUUCUCUAUAGAAUGUAUACAAAUGGCCAAUAAGCACAUCAAAAGAUGCUCAACAUCACUAGUCAUUAAGGAAAUGCAAAUCAAAAAACCCCAAUGAGAUACCAUUUCAUAACCAAUUAAAAUAGCUAUUUUCAAAAUAAAAAUAAACAGAAAAUAAAUGAUAGAGAGGUUGUGGAGAUAUUGGAACACUUAUGCAUUGCUUGGUGGCAUGUAAAAUGGUCUAGCUACUAUGGAAAGCAGUUUGGUGGUCCUUCAAAGAGCUAAGCAUAAAGUUACCAUAUGAUCCAGCGAUUUCACUCCUGGAUAUGUAUGGAAAGGAAUCAAAAGCAGGGACUCUAACAGAUACUAACAUGUCAACGUUCAUAGUAGCGGUAUUCACAAUAGCCAAAAGGUGGAAACAACCCAAGUCUGCAUCAACAGAGAAUGAACGAAGUAUGGUGUAUACAUAUAACAGACAUUUAUACAUAUAAUAGACCAUAAAAGGUAAUGAAAUUCUGAUAUACACUACAACAUAGAUGAAUCUUGAAGGCAUUUUGCUAAGUGAAAUAAGCCAGAACAAAAGGGCAAAUAUUAUAUGAUUUCACUUAUCUGAGGUAGUUAGAAUAGACAAAGUCACAGAAACAGAAAGUGGAAUAGAGGUUACCAGCGCUGGAUGGGGGGAUGUGUGGAGAUUCAUUGUUUAUUCAUUUGUUAAUUUUAUGGGAAUUUAUUAUUUAAUGAGUACAGAGUUUCUGUUUAGGGUUAUAAAAAAAUUGUGGAAAUAGUGGUAAUGGUUGCACAGCAUUGUGAAUUUAUUUAAUGCCACUGAGGUGUACACUUGAAAAUGGCCAAAAAGUAUAUUUUACUAUAAUAGAAAAAUAUAUGGGGGGUGAGGGAAGAGACAGAGAGAGAGAGAGAGAGAGAGAGAGAGAGACUAAGUUAUCAACGGUGAAUGAUUAGAGUGUCCCUCAGUACUACCACUUCCUCUGCCCAAGCUGGCCUGGUACAGACUAUCUCCAAAUGACUUGACAAAUGUUCUCUGGUCAUAAUACCUGCAGACAAUAGGGAAGAAGAAGGGAGAAAGAAAGAUCUCACCCAACGUCUGACUCUGGCUGGCUCCUGAUUGGAGAGGGGUCUGUGGUUAGGAUACAGGGACCCCUAAGGGAUGGAUUUUUGUCUUUCAACCUUGAUAAGUUAAUCCUUCACCUUCUGGAGUUGCCCACUUGCUAUCUCUGCUCCUUUCACAAAGCAACUGUGAAAUGAGGGUCUCAGACCAGACUUAAAGAAGCCCCAUAAGUUUUCAAGACCAUCACAUCCCUCACAGCCCCUGUAUCCAUGCAUCUCUAAAUGAAUCCACAUUUUCCAGUCUUCUGUUUUACCUUUGCCUUAACAUCUAAAUAAUAGGGGUUGAGCAUCCAUUUCAGCACCAUGGGAAGCCAGAGCCUUUCCCAGAGUCCUCUCCAAUAUUUCCCAUGAUCCUGCUUGUGAGUUUAUAUUCUCAUGGCCAUAUUUACCUUCUAAUUCUUGCACUUAGGAAAUUCUUGAUUCUUACUUACAUUUUGCUCCCUACCCCCACACUAGGGCAGCUGUUCUUCCAAACCCCUGUCUUGUCUACUGUUCAGACUACAGCUGAUUUUUCUUCCCCUAGAGCAACAUGAACACACAGCUAUUAUGCUUAACAGACUUUCCCAAGGGCUAGAAAUAGCUAGCUGGUUGGCACAAGGAAGGAAAAAAACUACAUACUGAAGGUCAGACACCACUGUUUCUAGAAACUUGUUGGCCCUUUUCUUAUAGGGAAGAUUUUUCACUGGCCAUGCCCACACUUAGUUGCUGAGGAUCCUUUCUCUGAAGACCCUUUCAACCAUCUACUCUCUUUUAAGGUCCCCACCUUGUGCAAUUUCAAAAUGUCUGUUUAGCAGCUCAUAAAGCAGUCUUACUUUUAACCUCCAGCAUCCCGCUGAACUCUGAGAUCUCCCUUUGCACAUCUAAAAAUCCCUUUAAGGGAUAUUCCUAAACCCCGUUCAGUACACAAAGAAUAAGAGAAACUCUGAAAUUACAUCUUCUUUAAAGAAUCACAUCUUUAAUCUUUAAUCACAUCUUCUCUCUAAAUCACAUCUUGGGAAGGCAAGACUUACUCAUCCACAAACCAGAGCCAAUCCCAGAGGCUGUGGAAUUCUCUUCCCAUCACAUGUUCCUCUGGGUUUUAGCAAAACUGGAGAUAGGGACUCAGCCUAGCUGGGGCACUGUAAGGGCUUCCAUGGAUGACAAGGGUUGUUGGGUUAUCUAGACAAAGGUGUUUGGGGCUGUAGACAAGCAAAUGUGCAAUCCUGGGCCCUGAUCACUGUAGGGUGAGCCAGGCAAGAAUACUCAGGGAUGGUGCCCAGUGAGAUCAAGUUCUUGACCUGUCACUUCCUUCUGUGUAUAGAGACUCUUCGGGUAAAGCGAGUCUCAGAUUGUGAUUGAGCAGGUUAUGGAGAAAAGGAAAUUCAUCUGGACUGAAAGGUUCUAGAGGGAAAUGGUGUCAUUGCCAAUGCUGGAAGAAGUAGAACCAGGAGAGAGGCCAAUCUCACUCUGCUUGAGUAAUGAAGACAUUCUGGCAAUGCCACAGGAUGGACACAUGGGAUAGAAUGGAGAAUGCAGAAACAGACCUGUGCAGAUUUAGAACUUUGAAAAGUGACAGAGGUGGCAUGGCUGAUUGAGGGGAAAAGGGGAGCUCUUCGACAAACAAAGCUGAAAAAAAUGAUUAUCCAUAUGGGAGAAGAGGAAAUAUAUUCCCUAUCUCACACCAUAUAAAAAUAAACAGUUUCAGAUUGACUUAACUGUCAAAGAAAAAAGUUUAAAAAAACUUUUAACUUUAGAUUUCAAAUCCUAGAUUUAAAAGAACACAUAAAUGAGUAUCUUUUAGACCUUGGGGCAGGGAAAAGUUUGUCAAACAAAUACAGAAAGUGUUAAUCUUAGAGAUAUUAAAACAAAGAACAUCAAAUGAAACUUCAUUAAAGAAACUGAAAAGACAAAUUACAAACAGGUUGGCUGAAAGAGUAUACAAAGAACUCCUAUAAGUCAAUAAGAAAAGCAUAAACAGCCCAGUAGAAAAAUGGGCAAGAGACAUGGACAGGCAUUCACAGAAGAGGAAACAUAAAGCUAAUGAACAAACUCAACCUCAUUAGUGAUCAGAGAAGUGCAUCCAUUCAUUCGGAAACUUUAAGAAUUUGACCCAAUGUUGGAGAGGAUGUAGGUCCACACAUCUUUCAUUGCCUAUGGGUGUGUAAAUUGUUACAACUACUUUGGAAAAUCUUCCCAUAUGCCACCACAUAGUAAUUUCACUCCUAGUUACAUAGACAAAUUUUUCACACCCACCAAAAGACAUUUCAUGGCAAUAUUGCUCACAAUAGCAGUGAUAAGAGAAUAGACUGUAACAUGAAUAAUUCAUACAAUAAUAUUAUACAGUGUUCGAAAGGAAUGAACCACUGUGACACACAACGUGGAUCAACCUUACUAUCAUAUUCAGUGCAAAAUAUAAUUUAUGACAAUUAUACUCAUUUUACAAAAUUAAAAAAAAUAAAGUAAAUAUAAGAAUACAUAUAAACUGGAUAAAAUAAUGUAAAAAGGAAAGCAGGAAAUGAUGCCUCUGGAAUUUAGUAUAUUGGCUACAUUACGUUGGUGGAGGAGGCAGGGAGGAUAGGAUGAAGAAAAACCGCGUGCUGGGUGGUAUGUUUCUGGGAGUUUGUCUUUAAAAAUAAAAAUGAAACAAAACAGCAAAGAAACCCAAGCAGGGUUGUGCAUGAAACAAAGAUAAGAGUGUAUCAAGAAAUAAGUAUUAUGAUUAGUACAGUUCAGUGCAACUGAAAUCUACUUAAGGAAAUAAAAGGGGGUGGGGAAAAUUAAGUGUGAUUGUAGUGGAAAAGCUGAGGGUUUCGAAUGAGAAGAUCCCAGUGUGUAACUUUGGGAAAGUAGUGUAAUCACUCGGAGGCUCUGAUUCCUGCUCCGUACGACGGGUGAGAGUACCAAACGCUACACCAAAUAGGUUUGUUGUGAGGGUUAAUAAGAACCUGAAUAUGAAAGCCAUGUGUCUGUCCAGUGCCCAAAACUGCACCAACAGUGUCUGCCUCUUGACGUUCCCCUCUGCUGUGCACACCAUCCGCACAUUUGUGUGCAUGAAGAUUAGGGUAUAGCGGAUACUAGGGACACCUUAAUGAGAAGUCACAGAAGAUCAAUAAUCAGAAUGAGGGGAAGCAAGGGCAGCCCAGCUCCUCUGUCUGGGUGAUAAUUAGGUUGGGGAUUUGGAGGCUGAUUAAACAUAUCAAAGCCUGCGUUUUUUCUCAAGAGUGAAGCGCCCCCCUACCUCUUCCUUUAUAAUCUUUUGUAUCCCAGCGAUGCCCUGGUGGUGAUGUUAGUCAGAAAGUACUUUGUUUUUUAAUUUCAGGUUUUAGAGGCAGCUUAGCAUGGUGGAAUACACAUAAGCUUCUGUAGCAGAUUGCUAGGGCUUCCUCAUUUCUGAUUUUCCUCUUUUCUGAACACAGAGGAGUCAGGUGGGGGGCAUGUGAGUGAUCUGUUCACAGAAUAUGGGUGGAAGUGACACCGUCUGGUCAUGUUCACGUCUAGCCGUGGAAGCUCCGCACAACUUUCCAGCCCCCUCAGAUAGACGGAUCGGAAAGGCCACACGUCAGGGUGGAGGAAACCAGAUGGAAAGAGACAGGGUUGCUGAAUGGCGUCAAGGAGGGCAACAACUCUGGAGAGACGCUCAGACCUGUAGCAGCUUUUGGAUGGGGAUGCUAUGGGGUUCCACGGGGGCUAUCACAAAGGGAAGCAUCCAGCUCAGCUCAUAGUACAUGGCAAUAGGCCUUCAGGAUGAAUAGAAUCUGAAAUGUGAAUUUCCAAGGAAGAGGCAGGACCACCCACUGGGACAGCAUCAUCCCGAUGACCACAGCUUGUUUAUGGCAUGUUGGUAUCAUCCCUCUUUCUCCUUCCUUCCUGGAAGCUCCUCAGUCUCCUUAUGUCUCUCUGGUUCCAUGUAAUGGACGUGCUGACUUUGUGUUUGAGGGAGUUGUUCCUUGGUUCCUGGGAAUGGAUUUUGGAGUGAAAGUAAGAAUACCUUUUCCUUCAGCUUGGGUUUCUUGGCAUGGUUAUGGGAGGUUGGUCAAGUGGGAGUGGUCAAGGACAGGCUAAGGGGCCUUGCAGCUCUAAAGACCACACCUACCGCCAGCAUGUAGGAUUCAAAUCAGGAUAAAGGUGCUGGGGCUGGAGAGGACCACAUUGUGCCAUCUAUCCCCACCAGGAACUCUUCUCCAGCCAGUUAACCCUUCAUUUGUGAAAUGUGGAUAAUCACACCCAUCUGGCAAGGUCUUUGCGCAGACUUGAGAAAAUGCCUGACACAUAUCAGGCCCUCGGUAACUGAUUUUGAUGAUGUCUGUGUGUCGAGUACCAAAGGUAGUGCUGGACAACUGUACAUAGUAGGAUUGCCCGACUCCUGCUCUCAGAUAUCCAGUAGGGGUGACGCAGCACAGGUGUCCUCGCUUUCAUGUGUCAACACCUUAAUAGGGGAAGACAACAAUUAGGUCCCCCCAGGAUGUCUUUUCUCCAGGCUAACAUAUACCUGGCUCCUCAGCUGUUGUUCACUUGAACUGGUCCUCUCCCUACUCUGCCCAUAUUUUUGAGAUGAGCCCAAAUGUGUCAGUGCCCUCCUUAAGAUGGGAACCUGGAACUUAACACUGUUCUUCAUGAGAAAGAUAACCAGGGAAGUUCCCAUGUUUUAUUACAGACCCAUUGGAAGUUAAUACCAAGCACACUAAAUGACUUACUCCAGAGAUGCACAGUAAGAUUUCUGGAAAUAGGGGACUCAAUGAAUAAACAAAAAAUACAUUUCCUCACAGGAGGUAGGGAGGCUUCUGGGGUUCUAGAAUAUUCUACUCCUUUUUUAAAAAAUUUUUUAAAAUGUAUUUAUUUUGAGAGAGAGCAAGAAACAACAGGAGAUGUGGGACAGAGAGAGAAAGAUUUUGAAGCAGGCUCCGCACUGUCAGCGAGGAGCCUGAUUUGGGCCCAAACCCACAAACUGUGAGAUCAUGACCUGAGCAGAAACCAAGAGCCCAAUGUUAACUGACUGAGUCACCCAGGUGUCCCUAGAAUGUUCCUUCUCUUGACCUAGGUGAUGGUUACAUGAGUUAUUCAUUUUUUAACAUUUAUUUAUUUAUUUUUGAGAGAGAGAACCAGCACAGGAGGAGGAAGAGGAGGAGGAAGAGAGAGAGGGAGAGAGAGAAAGCAGGGGAGGGACAGAGAUAGAGGGAGAGAGAAAAUCCCAGGCAGGCUUCAUGCUAUCGGUGUAGAGCCCCAUGUGGGGCUCAAACUUACCUGAGCUGAAAUCAAGAGUCAGAUGCUUAACUGACUGAGCCACCAAGGAACCCUAAGGUAUUCAUUUUUUGAAUAAUUCAUUGAGCUAGACAUUUUUGAGCUGAACAUUUUAAAAUAACAGUUUUAUUGAGAUACAAUUCACAUAUCAUAGAAUUCAUCCAUUUAAAUUAUACAAUUUAAUAGUUUUUAGUAUAUACAGAUAUAUACAAUCACUUACUAUAGUCAAUUUUAGAACCUUUUCAUCACCACUAAAAGAAACUGUACCCUUUAGCUAUCACCUUCCUAUAGUCCCCUCCUUCUCAGACUUAAGCAAUUACUAACCUACUUUCUGUCUCUGUAAAUUUUCCUAUUCUUCACAUUUAGUAUAAAUGGUAUCAUACAAUAUGUGGUCUUUUGCAACUGGCUUUUUUCAUUUAGCAUAAUAUUUUCAAGGUUCAUCUGUACUGUGGCACAAAUCAGCACUUUAUUUUUUUUUAUGGCCAAAUAUUAUUCCAUUGUGUGGAUAUACCACUUUUAUUUAUCAAUUCAUCAGCUGGUAGAUAUUUGGGUUGUUUCCACCUUAUGGCCCUUAUGAAUAAUGGGCUAUAAGAUUAAUGUGCAAGUGUUUGUGUAGAAAUGUUUCCACUUCUCGUGGGUAUGCACCGAGGAGUGGAAGUGUUGGGUCAUAUGAUAACCCUUUGCUGAACUUUUUGAGAAACUGCCAGAAAACAAUUUCCACAGGGGGUGCACGAUUUUACUUUCCCACGAGCAGCAUAUGAGGGUUUUGAUUGCUCCACACCCUCACCAAUACUUGUUGUUAUCUGUCUUUUUGAUUAUAGCCAUCCUAGUGGGUGUGUGGUGGUAUCUCGUUGUGGUUUCAUUUGCAUUUCCCUGAUGACUAAUUAUCUUGAACAUUUUGAUUUAUGUGCUUUUCUUAAUAUACAUCCUACUUUAAUAAAAAAAAAGUGUAUUUUUAAAACACACUCGCUUCUUGACCCCUGAUACCCAUAAAAAUUGCUCAGUUCUGAAAACACGGAACCCAGAACUUCUGGAGGCUAGAGAUUCUGCAUCUCCCAGAUGGAAUUCACCUCUGGGGGUAACCAAGUCAUUUUGGGACCAAGCUAGACUGGAGCUGCUCUCUUUCCCAGUAAGAAAUUUCCCUUGGAUCAUACACAGAAAGGCUCCAAAUGGACCUGUGUACAGGUAUGUAUUUUUCCCCUUAUACUCAGGUAAACUCAGGUUGUGAAAUGGGGUGGAAGGCUUGUAUUCAGACAUGGGUCAGCUAUCUGAAAGACUAUGUGGCACUGGACAAGGACUUGAGUCCUUGUCUCUUCAUCAAGGCACAAAGUUCAGGACAAGAAGAUUGAUGCACUUGAUCCAGACAUGGAGCUUGAGAAGAGAAUCAUCCCUAGAUCAAAUGAAAGGUGAAGCAGACACGAUGAGCAGGUGCCCAACCGGGCUGGACUCUGUUCACCUGAUCGAAGUAUACUGGUUCUGACUUCAAAGGUGUUGAGUGAGGUGGUAAGAACUUGGGCUUUAGAGUAAUGGGUCUUGGCUCUGCCACUUACUGUCUAAGAUUGGGCAAGUGACUUAAUCAUGAAGAACCUCAGUCUCUUCAGCUAUAAAUUAGAGAUCAUAACUCCCACCCUGCAGGAUUGCUAUGAUGAGAGAUAACAUAUGAAGAGUAACUGGAUUAUAAUAGAUACUCAAUAAGUGGUAAUUAUUAAAAUCAUUACAUUUUCUGCUAUAAAUUCAAAAAGUACUUAUUGAACAUUUACUCUAUUCACCCAUCUUUUCAAAUAUCCAUUCAUUCCAAAAACAUUUCUGAGCUCAAGAUUAUGCUGAGGUCAGUGAGGGGUCCUACCGAGAAAUAGAAAGCAGGCUCCUUGAGUUCAAGAAACUCAAACUUUGACUGGAAAAUAAUAAAUUAGAAAAGAAUAGAAUUAUAAAAUGGAAGCCAUCACACCUUCUUGACUGUGCUGUGGGAGUUAAGUGGGGAAGCCUGCAAGCUUGGCCUCUGGCCCCAGGCAGACUUAAUGGGUAGCCCGACUAGAGUUGUAUCUUACAUGGGGAGAGAGGCAGAGUCAGCCAAUCUACUAUGAAUCUUGGAAGCAUGGGUUUUAGAUCCCCUCACCUAGAAGGGCUUCUUCCAAGGCUCUGUACCUAAUUUUGUUUUUCUUGUCUAUAGAGGCCUCCCCCCCUCCUCCGCAAAUUGCAUAAACUUCAAGACCCACAAACCCUGGAUUAUCUCUCAUGGAGGACUGAGUUUUAAAGUCAGAAGAUAAAGUAGGAACUGACAAGCUCAUGCCUCGCAGCAUGCUCUUGGAAAGCACACAGGAGAGGUGAAGAAUCAGGAUACCCUGAGAUCUGAAAGGAAGGUAUGAAUCAAGUCAAGCUGAACAGUGGAGCAAGAAUUUGAAAGUUGGAAGCCUCUUGGACUAAGAGAAAAGAUAAAGGUGCCAGGUGGUGAGGAAUGUGAGGGCAGGGAACUAUACUUUAAACAGAAUACUCAUACAAUUUUCAUAUUACAUGUGCAAGAAUAGUGUAUAAUGCAUAAUGGUGGAACCAUGUUUGGAGUCACACUGAUCUGGGCUCUACUUAUUUGAACUCCAUGACUUAGGAAAGGUCAAGGAACAUCUUAGAAUAGAAUUUCAGUUUCAUUUGUAAAUCAUAAUAGUAAUACUUAUCUCGAAAGUAUUACUUUUGGAAUUUUAGGUUAUAAAAUUAGGGAGAUAUUUUUCUGAAAAUGAUUUGUAAACUGUAAAGAGUUCUGUUUACCAAUAUUGGUUCUAAUUCAUUUUACUCACACUGUAGAAAGAAUGUCCUUGUUCACCAACCUGAUAAUAGUGGAAGGACCCUUAGGGGGGAAACAAAGAAACAAACAAACCCAGCUCUGGUACUCUCAGAGUAAAAACUCCAGCUUAUUACAUACUUGUGAGCAAUUCCCUAAUUUCUCCAAUCCUCAGUUUCUCUAUCUAAAUCAUGAAAGUUAUUAUACUUUGCCUUUAAACACCAGUGAGGUAAUAUCUUGAUCAGAUUUAUCUUUAAGUUCCUUGGGAGGAAAUAAAUGAAAAUAUCCAAUUCACUUUCCUUAUUCGGACCUUUACUAGAAUUUGGAAAGGAGACUCUCUCAAGACUUUGAGCAACGGGGAAGACCGCUGAGUGCCACAACCCACCUUGAGCUGGACUGUAAUGAGAAGGACAUUGAUUGAGUGCUAGCUGUUGGACAUAUGGUUUUGCCUCACCCUCGUAACAGGCUAAUAUGUUUGACAUUACGGCUUAUAUUAUACAGAUGAGGAAAAUGGGGCUCAGAAUAUUUGAGCAAAUACUUCAGUUCCCACCUCUAGUAAAUGGAGGAGCAGAACAUCAGACCCAGAUCAAUGCUGGAACCUCCUUUUCCUGGUGUCCCCAGUUGACCUGCAGCUCCUUUGUGUCCAGGACAAGGAGGAUUGAACCUAUGUUCUACAGGAAGUCAGGCCUGUGACAGAUCAGUGUCCAAAGUGAGAGACUCUGUCUUCCUGUAUGUUGUGGCUGUUUCUGUUAAGCAGUGUCUUCAAAGGUCUAAUGAAGGAGGCCACCAUGGUGCCUGCAUGUCACAGAAAGAAUGUGGGCUCACAUCUUCACAAUGGCAGAGAUGGGUACAAAAGCAAAGACCUCAUCAAUUUUGGAGCAUUUCCACCUGUGAUGUUGGACAUCCUUCAGGCACGGUCUGAGAGAGGGACUGGACCAGCAUCUUCUGAACAUUGUAUUGUGGGGGAAAGACACAGAUAUGAGGAGCUCUUCCCCCUGCAGAUACACCUGUGGCACGAGCCACCCUUCCCCCAUCCCCUAAGGCAGAGUCUCCUCUCCAUCCCGUGCACACCCUUGUUGGUUUAUAGGUCCCCACUAUUAGAUGAGUAAUAAACAGUAGGAUAUAAGCUUCCCUUCUGGCCAAUCCCAGAGCUAAAGUAACAUGUUCAAACACCCUGUUAUUAUUAUUACCAAUGAUAAUAAGAGGAAUAAUGAGCAAGAAUUGCUUUUAUUAAAUAAAUCAGGAAAAUGCACUUUACAACAUGUUCCAGAGACAUGUCAAGAGGCUCUCUAAAUGUCUGGAUGGUGUUGGAGCUUGCGUUGCUCACCAUUAUGAGGGAGUUUUUCUACAAUUACUAGUCUCUCAACAGCAGGUUAGGACUCAUCUUAUAAAUAUAUAAUAACAUAAACGGGCUUUCUGUUUAUCAACUACUAUCUUAUAAGUGUGUGCUUUCCUCCUAUAAAUCCCCUUUUUUAAUAGGUGCAUUUUUGAAAUGAUACCAUAAUUGUAGCCAUUUAAAGACUAAGAUAUUUAACCUUGAUCUGUUGCUAUUUUUGUCAGUUUUGGAAUUAAAAGGGAAAUCUUAGUUUCCUCAGCUCUAUAACCUUCUUUAGGGUCAAGUGCAGUGAUCUGAGCAUGCCAAGCAUGCCAUAAAGGUGCCCAGUAAGUGUUUUUUUUUUUUGAGUGAAUGAAUAACUACAGAGAUCUUGUAGUUCAUCUACAUCACUCUCUUGCAUUCUAGGUUCUAUCUGAAACUAUCCUAGAAAGGUAGCAAUAAUAAUAUAGGAGAAGGGCGCCUGGCUGACUCAGUUGGUAGAGCAUGAGACUCUUGUCGGAGUUGUGAGUUUGAGCUCCAUGUUGGGUGUAGAGAUUACUUAAAAAUAAAUCUUCAAAUAACAGUAACAAUAACAAUAAUGUAGGAAAGCACACAGCUUGAGAACAAAUUUGUCCACCAUUGGAAUUCAGUAUUUGGUGUGCUUGGUGUAUUUUCUUUUUAAGUUGGCUUUGCACCCAGCGCAGAGCCCAAUGUGGAGCUCAAACUGAUGACUCUAAGAUCAUGACCUAAGCUGAGACCAAGAGUCAGACGCUCAACCAACUGAACCGCCCAGGUGCUCUGUGCCUAGUAUAUUUGACAUUUGGAAUAGAUCAUUUUUUAUACACUCCCUCCCUCUAUUCCUCAAAAUUAUUUCCCAUAAUACUCAUUUUCUUGAUUAGUUCUCCAGUUUUAAAAUAAUUUUAAAAAGAUAAACAGUAAUAAAGAUAUCCAAAUUUAGUAACUUACUUUAUUCAUGGUCCGAAAUGAACUGUUACCAAAAUACUAUACCUCGCAGUUCACACUGUGUUCUACUGUUUUAGAAUUUAAACACAAAUAAGACUCUAAAUCCUUGCUGCCUCUACACUCACUGCUCUGUUACUUUUUCCAGUGUGUGGGGUUUUAUUCAGUGCCAUCAAGCAAUUCUCCAGUUCUCAGUGGGCACUGACUGGGUGUCCCGCAAAUUUAGCUCAAUUCUAACACUGUCUGGAGAUAGUAGAGGUUCCAUGAAUAAGAACUCAGCCCGACAGUACUUACCCCACUUUGGAUGCCAAUCUCACGUUCAGAUUAUUACCUGUGCUUCUAACCAACUGGCUAUAAAACAGAGGUACCUACGAUCCCCCUCCUUGGGUUUAAUUAAUUUGCUAGAGGAGCACAGAACCCAGGACACCAGUUUUCUUACUAGAUACUGGUUUAUGGCCAGGGAUGUUAAAGGAUAUGAAUCUACAGCUGGAUAAAGAAAUAUAUUGGGUGAGGUCCAGAAGGAUCUUUAACACUGGAGCUUCUGUGCCAGUAGAGUUUGGGAAGUGCCAUUCUCCCAGCUCAUGGAUGCAUUCUGGUUCACCAGCUUGGAAAACCUCUGAAACUCUCCUUUUUUUGUUUUUUGUGUAGGCGCUAUUACAUAGGCAUGAUUGAUUAAAUCUUUGGUCAUUGGUGAUUGCUUCAACCUCCAGCCUCACUCCCCAGAGGUAUAGGAGGAAGCAGUGGGAAGGAAAAUUCCAACCCUCAAAGCCUGGUUGGUUUCCCUGGCAACCAGCCCCCAGCCUUGAGGGUUUCCAAAAGUUACCUCAUUAACAUAAACCCAGUUGUAGUGGAAAGGUGCUUGUUAUGAAUAACAAGACACCCAUUUCACCUUUAUGGCUCUGAAGUGAUUUCAGGAACUGAGGACAAAAGACCAAAUAUUGUAACAAAAGAUGCUCCCAUUGCUCUUAUCUGCUCCAGAAAUUCCAAGUGUUUGGGGAGCUGAGCCAGCAACUGUGGACAAAGACCAAAAUAUAGACGUAUCACACCGUUUAUUUCAAAUAAAUGGUUUAAAUGUGAGAAGAUAUGAUACCACAUGGAGCAAAGAUAUGACGUGUGUCUGGAGGAGAGUUCCAACAACUCUGAGCCAUUCUGCCCUUGCAAACAUACCCUUGGAAACAGUCCUGUGGCUGAGUCCUCAGGGGUAGGGUGGGUCAGGGCAACAGGAUUGUAUAACUGGGAGUUUCGGAAAUUAACUGCCAUAUAGAAUACAGUGUUCACUAAAAAUGGGUUAAUUUGGAUCAUGUAAGUGUGUGUCUGUGUGCAUAAACUCAGCAGUAAUCAUAGCAACUAAUUAGAACUGAGACCAAUAUGAGGUUUGGUGGGGGCCCGGGAGCAUUUUCUCAAUGACUUUCUUUUGAACUGCAGGCACAUGUUACGUCGACUGACUUCAGUUUCAUUACUGUUUUUAAAUUCUCUACUGAAAAUGCUCCCCAUUAUUGCUUCCUAGUCAGCAGUCCAUUGUCAGAAAACUCACAGUAACAGAAUUAGGGGGAACAAGUGUGAUCUAGGGGCAGGGCCUACCCACUGAGGGGAGGUGCAUUUCUCAGUGCAGCAGGACCUUCACCUCUGCCUAAUGACAAAACUAAAUCAAUUUAGUGAUGAGUCUGAUGUCCUUUAUGCAAGGGAAAAUAUUCCAUGAUUGGGGCGGAAGGUAAUAGUGCUCACAGGCAGGGGACACUUCCCGAGGCAUCUGGGACAAGUCCGAGUUUUAUAGAACCUGAGAAGAGGUUCUAUAGGCAGAAAUGGCACAAUCAGCUAAUAGAUCCUAUUUUCCAGGGUAAGAUGAGCUAGCUAAAGUUGAGCUGAAGGGUUGUGACUGGAGUAUGUUCCAUUCCCUUUGAUAGGUGUUUCCCCAAAGGGACAGGCUGACUCGGGUUUAGGCUUGUGACCUGGGCCAGGCCCCUAGGGUGGCCUCCAUUUUGUGAGUCCAGACAUAUGAAUUAACUUUACUGGCUCUCACACUGAUGUCCCUGCCCCCAGGAACUCAUAUCUGAGUCCAGCAGGGCUGAGGUGGUGAUAACAGGAAGGGCCACUAAUUAAACCCUAAAUAAGUCAGUUUGGUCCUUCUGAUGAGGGAGCAUAAGGCAGGCUGAGGGCAAAGUACAAGCUAGCACACACCUCUUCCCACCAGGUAGAAUAUGUGUGAUAUUCCUCGGGCACUCCUGGCUGCCCAAGAACAAAGGAAAAGAAAGGAAACAAAUGGUUAACUGAGAGAGAUCCCAGUUAUACAGGACAUGAGUCUCCAUCAGUUUACAAAUAUCUGAGUAAAUUACAAGAAAAAGGCAAUCUUCUCAAUCACCUAAUAUACAGAAACCUGUAGACUCAGUUUCAUGGAGCCCUAACAUCACCUUCCCCUCCGUAGAGAUAUGGGGAACAAAGGCAGGAAGAAAAUGGCAGGUAAAAUUAAAUUUCCUUAUAACCUGCAGCCCAUGGACAAAUACUUGAGGCAAAAACAGAGUAUAACUUUUCUCCAGGCACUCCCUACUGUCUUAAUGUCAAUGCUUUGCUAGAGGGGAAAACCUUAGUUUGACAAUAGCUAGGACUUCAGUAAUCUGGGAGUCUUUAGCGUAUGAAAAUCCCUUUAAGAAACGUC